UCAAAAGGAAAUGUUGUUCAGUCUGAACCUAAGCUGUGGAGGUCAAACCCAGGAGAUGGUCAUCGCUGUACAGUAUACUGACCAAUAUAAACCUACAUGGAUAACUAGUAAAGUAAAACAAAGGCUGACGGUGAAGGAGAAUGUUUUGCCUGGGACUGCCGUAUUAAAUCUCAAAGGAGUUGUCACCGACGGCGAUUGCUACA